GACGAACGCUGGCGGCGUGCCUAAUACAUGCAAGUCGAACGCUUCUUUCCUCCCGAGUGCUUGCACUCAAUUGGAAAGAGGAGUGGCGGACGGGUGAGUAACACGUGGGUAACCUACCCAUCAGAGGGGGAUAACACUUGGAAACAGGUGCUAAUACCGCAUAACAGUUUAUGCCGCAUGGCAUAAGAGUGAAAGGCGCUUUCGGGUGUCGUUGAUGGAUGGACCCGCGGUGCAUUAGCUAGUUGGGGAGGUAACGGCCCACCAAGGCCACGAUGCAUAGCCGACCUGAGAGGGUGAUCGGCCACACUGGGACUGCGACACGGCCCAGACUCCUACGGGAGGCAGCAGUAGGGAAUCUUCGGCAAUGGACGAAAGUCUGACCGAGCAACGCCGCGUGAGUGAAGAAGGUUUUCGGAUCGUAAAACUCUGUUGUUAGAGAAGAACAAGGACGUUAGUAACUGAACGUCCCCUGACGGUAUCUAACCAGAAAGCCACGGCUAACUACGUG
rnacentral:rRNA from 1 species